AUUGAACGCUGGCGGAAUGCUUUACAUAUGCAAGUCGAACGGUAGAGGGGGCAACCCCUCGAGAGUGGCGAACGGGUGAGUAAUAUAUCGGAACGUGCCCAGUCGUGGGGGAUAACGUAGCGAAAGUUACGCUAAUACCGCAUACGAUCUAAGGAUGAAAGCGGGGGAUCGCAAGACCUCGCGCGAUUGGAGCGGCCGAUAUCAGAUUAGGUAGUUGGUGGGGUAAAGGCUCACCAAGCCAACGAUCUGUAGCUGGUCCGAGAGGACGACCAGCCACACUGGAACUGGGACACGGUCCAGACUCCUACGGGAGGCAGCAGUGGGGAAUUUUGGACAAUGGACGCAAGUCUGAGCCAGCCAUUCCGCGUGCAGGAUGAAGGCCCUCGGGUUGUAAACUGCUUUUGUACGGAACGAAAAGGUCUCUCUUAAUACGGGGGGCUCAUGACGGUACCGUGAGAAUAAGCACCGGCUAACUACGUGCCAGCCGCCGCGGUAA
rnacentral:rRNA from 1 species